UCCGGUUUGUCACCGGCAGUCUCGCAUGAGUCCCCAACUAAAUGCUGGCAACAUGCGACGGGGGUUGCGCUCGUUGCGGGACUUAACCCAACAUCUCACGACACGAGCUGACGACAGUCAUGCAGCACCUGUUAUCCGGUUCCCGAAGGCACAACUGUAUCUCUACAGUCUUCCGGUAAUGUCAAGGGCAGGUAAGGUUCUUCGCGUUGCAUCGAAUUAAACCACACGCUCCGCUGCUUGUGCGGGCCCCCGCCUAUUCCUUUGAGUUUUAACCUUGCGGCCGUAGUCCCCAGGCGGUGAACUUAAUGCGUUAGCUGCGGCACUGAUCGGGUCAAUCCGACCAACACCUAGUUCACAACGUUUAGGGCGUGGACUAC
rnacentral:misc_RNA from 1 species